GAUGAAGAACGUAGUGAAAUGCGAUAAGUAAUGUGAAUUGCAGAAUUCAGUGAAUCAUCGAAUCUUUGAACGCACCUUGCACUCCUUGGUAUUCCGAGGAGUACGCCUGUUCGAGUGUUAUGAAGCUCUCAAAACGCAAUUGGCUUAAAACCUGAUUGUUGUUUUGGAUUUGAACUUUGCCGUGUUAUAACGGCUGGUUUUGAAAGUAUUAGCUGGUACUAGAACGAAUUGGUUCUACUCAACGUGAUAAUUAUCUGAUCGUUGAGGACAUUCCUUUCACGAGGAAUGGCCAUAGUAAAUUCAAUGGACUGCUUCUAAUCUGGCUUUAAUUCUUUAUUGGAUUAACCACUUUUCAAAUCUGACCUCGAAUCAGGUGGGACUACCCGCUGAACUUAAGCAUAUCAAUAAGCGGAGGA
rnacentral:misc_RNA from 1 species